UGGGGAAUCUUCCGCAAUGGACGAAAGUCUGACGGAGCAACGCCGCGUGAGUGAAGACGGCCUUCGGGUUGUAAAGCUCUGUUAUUCGGGAAGAACGAUUCGUUUGUGAACAAUGAACGGAAGUGACGGUACCGAAAGAGAAAGCCACGGCUAACUACGUGCCAGCAGCCGCGGUAAUACGUAGGUGGCAAGCGUUGUCCGGAAUUAUUGGGCGUAAAGAGCGCGUAGGCGGUAUGGUAAGUCUGUCUUAGAAGUGCGGGGCUUAACCCCGUGAGAGGACUGAGUCUGUCAUACUGGAGUCUCGGGGAUGAAAGCGGAAUUCCUAGUGUAGCGGUGAGAUGCGUAGAGAUUAGGAAGAACACCGGUGGCGAAGGCGGCUUUCUAGACGAGCAAUGACGCUGAGGCGCGAAAGCGUGGGGAGCGAACAGG
rnacentral:rRNA from 1 species